UUCGUGGUUCAAUCCUACCUGCGCCCGUCUCCUUCUCCGACACAAACUCUCUUCGAGCUCGCACGCGCCCAUGGGUGUCCGGCACAGGUCGGUGCUUGCCUAGCCUCUCUCCCAUAAAUACUCCACGGUUGACGCGAUGGGAAAGAUGAAGGCGGAGCAACAAGAUGAUCAGCCGUAAGCCGAGACCGUUCCCACAGGCAAUUCAUCCGGCUACGUAUCUCGCCGAGGCCAAUGGCAGCAACAGCCGAGGCCCAAGUCAUUGGGAUUCCCUUUUUCUCUGCGGCUGCAUACCCGGUAUCUCCGUACUGUUGCUCUGUUGCCGGUCGGCAGAAGGAGGUGGCCGGCGUCGCCCCCAUCUUCAAAUCCCCUGGUCACUCGAUCUCAUCCGCCGGCGCUGGGUGCCCGCACCAGAUUUGUGCUCCCUAUAUCGAGCGACCGACGGCUGCUGCUCCCAGCCCCGGAUCUGCUCCUCCUCGCCACUUGCAAACCGUGGCUCCGAUGAUCCACGACAGGGGAUGAUGACCCACGGCGACAGAGGAUGACGACGUAUGGUUGCUGCUUCCAAUCACCACCACGGACCCGCCACUCCAACGACCAUGGCGGGGACGACCACCCAUGGAUGUAACUCCCCACCACCGGUCUUCUUCAUGGGUGCAGCAAGCUGCUCCUCCAUCCUGUCCGUCCCAGCCAACGCCAGAGGCCUCCUCCGCUGCCUCCUCCGACCCAUGCUGUAGCAACCUUCAUACGAGGCCGCUAUGGUGCCGCCUCGGCUGCCCAGGAGGGUAGUUUGAGCUAGCACACAAAAGCCCAUUGAAGAGAUUGAUCCAAGUGCUUCUGAACUGUUAGGCCCUCAAAGUUUCAAGCAGAAGCCCAAAAGAAGAAGGAUCAAGAACAUCUGAUACUACUAUUGAAGAUAAUGCAGUAUGUGUGGAGGAAUGUGCCAAUUACAGGUGCAGGAAUGUGGUGGAUCAACUCUUCUUCACCUUGGGAUUGAUCAUAUUCAGAUGUAUUAUGAAUUUAUGAUGAGAUGGACAGCAUUGUAGUGACAUGGAUGAAGCUGUUGGA